AUUUCUUAAUUCAUUAGUAUAAUAAAAUAUAAAUAGCUUCCAACUAUUAGAUCUCUAAAGAUGAAUUA
rnacentral:tRNA from 1 species